GACAGAGGGUGCAAACGUUGUUCGGAAUUACUGAGCGUAAAGCGUGUGUAGGCGGCUAGGUAAGUCGGAUGUGAAAGCCCCAGGCUCAACCUGGGAAGUGCACUCGAUACUGCUUAGCUCGAGUACUGGAGAGGUUGGUGGAAUUUACGGUGUAGCAGUGAAAUGCGUAGAUAUCGUAAGGAAGGCCGGUGGCGAAAGCGAGCCUCUGGACAGUUACUGACGCUGAGGCACGAAGGUCAGGGGAGCAAACGGGAUUAGAGUACCCUUGUAA
rnacentral:rRNA from 1 species